UCAAGACCUGAUGAAUUUGGAGCAUCUCUGAAGUCAGACCUUCCAGGUACAGCUAAAGCACUGCAGCCAUGGGAACAGAUGGAGAGAAACUCCCCAUGGAUAAACUCAUCUGGAAAAUGGAAGAUGAAGCUCCUUAGGCAGCAGAACCGGGAACUAAACAGGCUUCAGGAUGCAGCAGGGCAGGUUCAACUCAAGGAUUGUGUGAUGCAAGUGUCAGACCAAACCAGGGGCUUGUGCCUGGGAUUCAGGAAACCUGCCUCCAGUUUUUCUGUACCAAAGGGUCUGAGGCCAAGUUUCUGUCUGAGAUUGGAUUCAAAACUACACUAAACU